AUGGCUUCAUUUUCUGAUCCAUGUUGCCUGUUCAAGCUAAUACAAAAUUUGCUGGAACAUAAGAAAUUUGGGGAUCUUUACAAAAGAAACGAUCUUCAAGACCCCAUGCCGCCAAAGGAUGGAAUGAUAAUUUUCACUGGCCCAAGUCGAGGUCUAGUGCUGGUUGAUUUCAUCUAUCUAGAUAUAGAUCUUAAAAUCAGGGAAGAUGGAGUGCUUCCAAAUAGGCCAUUCAGCAAGGGUCUAUUAAGUAUUGAUGGCCGGGAGAUCACCGUGGUCCUCAACGACCUCGUCACAGCCGUCCAAGAAAUCCGGCUGUACCUGACCAGCACCUACGGGCCGUCGCCGCCCCUGCCACCAACCGCCGCCACCGGGCUGCCGGCCCUACCGUGGUACUCGCCGCAUCUAGGGGCCUCCGCGACGUUCGCUGGGACGCUGCCUGCCGUCGCCCCGCUGUGGCCGCAGUGGCCGGCGCCGGUUCCGACGCGCCUCCACCGCCGCCGUCUACACCGCGCAAGGACGGCGCCCAGCCGCCGACCGCCGCGCCCUCGCCCUCGUCCUCCUCCAUCCUUCCCCUACAAUCUCUGCCCUAGAACUGGCAGAACCCUAGCUCCUAACACUGAGUACUGUCUAGAGAGGAAGAUGUGGUGGUUAGAAGGGAAAUCCUUGAAAGCUGGCUCAGCACUUCUUGAGGGCCGUUUGAAAGGAAAUAUAAUAGUUGGCAUCUCAGAUAAAGCUCACAAUCUGGACACUGAACAUAUGAUUGUGAUUCAUGAUAGCAAGACAGAUGGCAUGGUGACAGAUGCUCUGCUCUACACCUUGAGGGCUGUUAUGAAACCAGUGAUAACAACUGAAGAUGGUAUCCACCAAGAAGAAUUUGGGUUAGAAGACUCUGCAAACAUACUCUCCAUCAGCAUAGUCUCCUCAGAUGUAGGCUUCCCAGUCAAUGUCUAUGGCCGUGUCAUUGCCAGAGACAGCAUUGACUACAAGUGCAUUUAUCCCUUUCACCGCAAUAGAGAUGAUUGCCAGCGUGUCAACGAGGAUGGAAUGCUGAUUUUAACCGGCCCAGGUCGAGAUGAAUUGGUCAUUACGUGUGGUGCUGUAAAGUUUGGAGUCAGGGUCGUCUGGUCCUUGAUGGACUUUAGGCUGUAA
rnacentral:rRNA from 1 species